rnacentral:tRNA from 1 species
GAGCCAGUGGUGCAAUGGAUAACACACCUGACUAUAAAUCAGAAGUUUGUAUGUUCAACUACUACCUGGCUUG